CAUCCGUAUCAAAUCUCCUCCUUAAAACCCAGCCUCGAAGAUACGAUAAUGGAAGUUAUGUGACCGGAGCAUGUAGACUGGAAAUUGCAUUGAACAAAGCCGAGGAAAUGGUUUUCUCCGAGAGCCAGGGAGAGAAAACAUUUCACAUUAAUGUGGCCAGAGCGACUAAGGAUCACAAACCUCCCCUUUAAAUACAGGCACUUGUUCUCAAAAGUCCCUUUUGUUUAACCAGGCAGCAAAAUGCAAGCAGCAGGAUGCUGAAUGGGUAGAAUUUAAAAUUUAUCACCCAAUCGAGAAAAUGUGUGCAGCCAGGCAGGCAGCCAAGAGGAUAAAGUGGUUCCACAAACAUCUUCAUUGUCAAGCUUGGUGGAAUCCAGCACAAGAUCCAAAAGACAAGCUUGAUGUCCUUAGCAAGAAGUGGUUCAGAGGUGAACCUCAGUUGUGAGGAACCCCAGGGUGGAAUUCAGCUUCAGGUUGACAAUAUCUAACUUCUCAGGAAUGUUUGUUUCUUGGACCCUCCUGCAAGGCAGCACAAUAUAAACUGGAUGAU